rnacentral:rRNA from 1 species
UACGAGUGCCCCAAGCGUUAUCCGGAAUUAUUGGGCGUAAAGGGUGUGUAGGCGGUUGUGUUAGUCUUCUGUUAAAUUCUUCGGCUUAACCGGGGGCAUGCAGAGGAAACGGCACAACUAGAGGAUGCGAGAGGUGAAUGGAACUCAUGGAGUAGGGGUGAAAUCCGUUGAUAUCAUGGGGAACACCAAAUGCGAAGGCAAUUCACUGGCGCACUCCUGACGCUGAAACACGAAAGCGUAGGUAGCGAAUGGG